CCUACGGGAGGCAGCAGUGGGGAAUAUUGGACAAUGGGGGCAACCCUGAUCCAGCCAUGCCGCGUGUGUGAGGAAGGCCUUUUGGUUGUAAAGCACUUUAAGCAGGGAGGAGAGGCUAAUGGUUAAUACCCAUUAGAUUAGACGUUACCUGCAGAAUAAGCACCGGCUAACUCUGUGCCAGCAGCCGCGGUAAUACAGAGGGUGCGAGCGUUAAUCGGAAUUACUGGGCGUAAAGCGAGUGUAGGUGGCUCAUUAAGUCACAUGUGAAAUCCCCGGGCUUAACCUGGGAACUGCAUGUGAUACUGGUGGUGCUAGAAUAUGUGAGAGGGAAGUAGAAUUCCAGGUGUAGCGGUGAAAUGCGUAGAGAUCUGGAGGAAUACCGAUGGCGAAGGCAGCUUCCUGGCAUAAUAUUGACACUGAGAUUCGAAAGCGUGGGUAGCAAACAGGAUUAGAUACCCUGGUAGUCCACGCCGUAAACGAUGUCUACUAGCCGUUGGGGUCCUUGAGACUUUAGUGGCGCAGUUAACGCGAUAAGUAGACCGCCUGGGGAGUACGGCCGCAAGGUUAAAACCUCGAAAAGUGUAAGUUGGACGUGAGAGAGCGACGGACGGACGACGACGGAGGGAGGAG
rnacentral:rRNA from 1 species